rnacentral:rRNA from 1 species
CAAGGAAUUUUCCGCAAUGGGCGCAAGCCUGACGGAGCAACGCCGCGUGCGGGAUGACGGCCUUCGGGUUGUAAACCGCUUUUGGGGGGGAGGACAUCGACCGUACCCUCCGAAUCAGGCUCGGCUAACUCUGUGCCAGCAGCCGCGGUAAGACAGAGGAGCCAAGCGUUGUCCGGACUGACUGGGCGUAAAGCGCACGCAGGCGGUGCGGUUAGUGGGGUGUGAAAGCGGUCGGCUCAACCGACCGAGGCCAUCUCAGACUGCCGCACUCGAGCGCUGCAGAGGGUGGUGGAAUUGCCGGUGUAGUGGUGAAAUGCGUAGAGAUCGGCAGGAACACCGAGGGGGAAGCCAGCCACCUGGGCAGCCGCUGACGCUCAAGUGCGAAAGCGUGGGGAGCGAACUGGAUUAGAUACCCGUGUAGUCC